CCAAUAGCGUAUAUUAAAGUUGUUGCAGUUAAAAAGCUCGUAGUUGAAUUUCGGGAUCAGUACGUCGGUCGUGCCUUCGGUAUGCACUGGUGUCACUGAUUCCUCCCUUCUGACGAACCGUCAUGCCAUUAAUUUGGUGUGGCGGGAAAUCAGGACUGUUACUUUGAAAAAAUUAGAGUGUUUAAAGCAGGCUCACGCUUGAAUACAUUAGCAUGGAAUAAUGAAAUAGGACGUUGAUCUUAUUUUGUUGGUUUCUAGGAUUGACGUAAUGAUUAAUAGGGAUAGUUGGGGGCAUUAGUAUUCAAUUGUCAGAGGUGAAAUUCUUGGAUUUAUUGAAGACUAACUACUGCGAAAGCAUUUGCCAAGGAUGUUUUCAUUAAUCAAGAACGAAAGUUAGGGGAUCGAAGACGAUCAGAUACCGUCGUAGUCUUAACCAUAAACUAUGCCGACUAGGGAUCGGAUGAUGUUAAUUUUUUAAUGACUCAUUCGGCGCCUUAC
rnacentral:rRNA from 1 species